rnacentral:rRNA from 1 species
GUAGGUGGCAAGCGUUGUCCGGAAUUAUUGGGCGUAAAGCGCGCGCAGGCGGUUCUUUAAGUCUGAUGUGAAAGCCACGGCUCAACCGUGGAGGGUCAUUGGAAACUGGAGAACUUGAGUACAGAAGAGGAAAGCGGAAUUCCACGUGUAGCGGUGAAAUGCGUAGAGAUGUGGAGGAACACCAGUGGCGAAGGCGGCUUUCUGGUCUGUAACUGACGCUGAGGCGCGAAAGCGUGGGGAGCAAACAGGGAUUAGAUACCCUGGUAGUCCACGCCGUAAACGAUGAGUGCUAAGUGUUAGGGGGUUUCCGCCCCCUUAGUGCUGCAGCUAACGCAUUAAGCACUCCGCCUGGGGAGUACGGCCGCAAGGCUG